rnacentral:lncRNA from 1 species
AUCCACAGUAUUCAGGUGUACAUAAGCUCCUAUCCACACUAUCCAUGUGUGCGUAAGCUCUAGUAAAAUGAGAUCCAUCGUUCUACUUGCACAUUUAGCUUAGCUCCAUAAAAUAAAGAUGAGACGAAGCACAACCUUCCUAAAACCACAAAACAGAAAGUACCAAACAGUAAUAAAGCGAAUUGAUAGCCACAAAAAUGUUUGUUGGAAAUUUCUGCAAACAAGUAGGAAAAGCAGUAAAGGUAUUUAAAAUAGAUUAUAAAAAAACUUGUGAUAUAAAGUUAGAAAAAUAAGGAGGAUGAGGGAGAGAGAGAGAAAGCAAGAUUGAACCAUAUCUGGAACUGACGGGUGUCUCAGAGCUGAAUCCCUACUUUAAUACAACACCUGUGGAUCAACACAGUCCAAAGCAAAGGUCGAAAGUCGAGAAAUAUCAUAUCUUGCACAUAUAUAUAUAUCAUAAGGAGAAUCAAAUCUUAAUCGGCAGAACAGAGAGAAGGUUCUUCAUAUGAGACAAAUAGGUUGAACAUCCAGUGGCAGACGAAAUUUUACCGGACACUCUGUUUAGAAUUGUCAUAUAAACACAAUCAUGACGAGGGGAGAAUAUACUCGUAUUCAAAGCGCUUUCUUCUACAAGGAAUCUUUUUGAGAAAAAAUCAAAUCAGCCGAUUACCGAAACCCUGGCAAGAGAAAACACAAUCCAAACGCAAAACCCAUGAUAAUAAACCACUUGUUAAUGCAUACGAAAACCACACCUAAUACCUCGCCGGAUCAAAAUUACCAAAAUAAAACCAAUUCAGAAUCACAAUCAGACGAACGACCCCGAAUCGAUGACGAUCCAAUUGUCAAACCGGCAAAAUAACCCCAAAUAAAAUCAAAUCAGGACCACAAUCAGACGGUAUCGCGAAAGAGAAGAAAAAACACGCGAUGGAUAAACAUUGAAUUGAAUUGCGCAAGUUUCAUAGCGACGAUGAUACAUAUAAUCUAGAAAAACGGAGACGACAAAUAAACAAAAGCAAUAAUCAAACAAAACUCUAAAAUCCACAGAUAACCAACAAAGACGAGAGACGAAGAAAUGAGUUACGGUUGUAGGAGGGGACGGGUAUUUAUAGAAGAGUCGGUGUUGAGUGGAUGGCUGAGAUUAAUCGGAUCAAAGGUACCAAAUGGUUGGACAACCACCGUCAUUUUUGUUGCAAGUUU